rnacentral:rRNA from 1 species
AGUCGAGCGAGUCUGCCUUGAAGAUCGGAGUGCUUGCACUCUGUGAAACAAGAUACAGGCUAGCGGCGGACGGGUGAGUAACACGUGGGUAACCUGCCCAAGAGAUCGGGAUAACACCUGGAAACAGAUGCUAAUACCGGAUAACAACAGAUGAUGCCUAUCAACUGUUUAAAAGAUGGUUCUGCUAUCACUCUUGGAUGGACCUGCGGUGCAUUAGCUAGUUGGUAGGGUAACGGCCUACCAAGGCGAUGAUGCAUAGCCGAGUUGAGAGACUGAUCGGCCACAUUGGGACUGAGACACGGCCCAAACUCCUACGGGAGGCAGCAGUAGGGAAUCUUCCACAAUGGACGCAAGUCUGAUGGAGCAACGCCGCGUGAGUGAAGAAGGGUUUCGGCUCGUAAAGCUCUGUUGUUGGUGAAGAAGGACGGGGGUAGUAACUGACCUUUGUUUGACGGUAAUCAAUUAGAAAGUCACGGCUAACUACGUGCCAGCAGCCGCGGUAAUACGUAGGUGGCAAGCGUUGUCCGGAUUUAUUGGGCGUAAAGCGAGUGCAGGCGGUUCGAUAAGUCUGAUGUGAAAGCCUUCGGCUCAACCGGAGAAUUGCAUCAGAAACUGUCGAGCUUGAGUACAGAAGAGGAGAGUGGAACUCCAUGUGUAGCGGUGAAAUGCGUAGAUAUAUGGAAGAACACCGGUGGCGAAGGCGGCUCUCUGGUCUGUUNNNGACGCU